rnacentral:misc_RNA from 1 species
AUCCCCAAUUUGACUCCCUAAUUAUUUAUCGUAUCCUUUUUAUUUAUCCUUUUUUCGUUAGCGGUUCAAAAGUACUUAUCUUUCUCAUUCACUACUCUUUAUACAAACGGAUCUGAGCGGAAAUGUAUCACAGAGCAAGGAAUCCCCAUUUGAAUGAUUCACGAUCGAUAUUUUUAUUCAUAUUGAAACUUACAAAGUUGUUCUUUUGGCAAAUUCUAGGACCUGGAUGAGGCUUUGUAAUACCCGUUCAAUUGACAUAGACCCACGUUCUCUAGUAAAAUGAAAAUGAGGAUGAGACAUCAGGAAUAGUCGGGAUAGCUCAGUUGGUAGAGCAGAGGACUGAAAAUCCUCGUGUC